CAGAUGGACGAGACGCUGGCAGGGGUGGCCGAGAAAAUCAGGAACUUCGCGGUGAUCUGCCCAUGGCGCCUGAUUCUACAGCAAAUCGAUUGAUUGGAUUAGUUUCAUAUACAUCGGUGAAGUGCAGGUUCAGCUGUGGUUCUCAUAUAAGGAAGAGUGUCAUAGCUAUUGUCAAAAUUUAGCCUCCUUCGCUUUGAGAUGGCCAACUAUUGUGUGUUUAUGAAGAGAAGUGCCUAAUCU